rnacentral:tRNA from 1 species
GGAGAUGUAGCUCCAUGGUAGAGCACUCGCCUAACAUGUGCGAGGCCCUGGGUUCAAUUCCCAGCGCCACCA